rnacentral:rRNA from 1 species
UUGGAGGGCAAGUCUGGUGCCAGCAGCCGCGGUAAUUCCAGCUCCAAUAGCGUAUAUUAAAGUUGUUGCAGUUAAAAAGCUCGUAGUUGAACCUUGGGUCUGGCUGGCCGGCCCGCCUCACCGCGAGUACUGGUCCGGCUGGACCUUUCCUUCUGGGGAACCUCAUGGCCUUCACUGGCUGUGGGGGGAACCAGGACUUUUACUGUGAAAAAAUUAGAGUGUUCAAAGCAGGCCUUUGCUCGAAUACAUUAGCAUGGAAUAAUAGAAUAGGA